AAAAAGUAAACUCUAGGUUUUCGUGUCUAAUUUUAAUUGUCCGUCUUAUAUGAAUUUUUUUAUAAUUCGUAUUUUAAUUGUUGUUAGAUGAUAAAAUAUUAUUUAUAUUUUAUGCGUGACUUGUCUUUUUAAUUUUUUUCAUAUUUUUUUCAAAUAAGAUGGACGGUCAAACGUUUGGCACGGAAAUC
rnacentral:pre_miRNA from 1 species